UAUUCGGAGAGUUUGAUCCUGGCUCAGAAUGAACGCUGGCGGCGUGCCUAACACAUGCAAGUCGAACGAGAAAUCUGUAGCUUGCUACGGAAAGUAAAGUGGCGAACGGGUGAGUAACACGUGAGUAAUCUACCCUCAAAUUCGGGAUAACAUUGCGAAAGCGAUGCUAAUACCGGAUGUGGUUUUAUCGGUAAAGGCUGGUAAAGCUAAAGUUGGCCUCUAUGAAUAAGCUAAUGUUUGAGGAUGAGCUCGCGCACCAUUAGUUAGUUGGCAGGGUAAAAG
rnacentral:rRNA from 1 species